rnacentral:lncRNA from 1 species
CCUCUCGCGGGGGCGCCAGGGGGCAGCUGGUUGAGGUGCGCAUGCGCACUGGCACCUAACGGCUCUUCUUCGAGUCUUCUCAGAGGUUGGAGAUUCCCUGUCUUCUCCAACCUCUGCCAAGUCUUCAGAGAGGUUGGAGUGCGCCUGUCGGAGGUACUAGACCCCAGAUGAGGAUCUCAGGAAGAUCCACAAAGCUGCGUCCAGGGGAACGAACGUGUGGAAGCUGCAGCGGAGCCUCCUGCUCAAGAGUAAAGGACCGGUCUGAAACCUACAAGAACAGUUACAGGGUCUCCCUGUUGCGCAGGCUGGUCUUGAAGUA